UAUUAUUUUAGCGGCGGACGGGUGAGUAACGUGUGGGUAACCGGCCUUUUACUGGGGAAUAAUCACUGGAAACGGUGACUAAUACCGCAUACGGUUCUUGGAAGGCAUCUUCUGAGAAAGAAAGGAUUUAUUCGGUAAAAGAUGGGCCCGCAUCUGAUUAGCUAGUUGGUGAGAUAACAGCCCACCAAGGCGACGAUCAGUAGCCGACCUGAGAGGGUGACCGGCCACAUUGGGACUGAGACACGGCCCAAACUCCUACGGAAGGCAGCAG
rnacentral:rRNA from 1 species